GACAGUUCGGUCCCUAUCCGGCGUGGGCGUAGGAUAUUUGAGAGGAGCUGUCCUUAGUACGAGAGGACCGGGAUGGACUGGCCGCUGGUGUAUCUGUUGUUUUACCAAGAGCAUAGCAGAGUAGCCAAGCCGGGAAGGGAUAAACGCUGAAGGCAUCUAAGCGUGAAGCCCCCCUCAAGAUGAGAUAUCCCAUAACGUCAAGUUAGUAAGACCCCUUGAAGACGACGAGGUAGAUAGGGCAGAGGUGGAAGUGUGGUAACACAUGGAGCUGACUGUUACUAAUAGGUCGAGGGCAUAACCAA
rnacentral:rRNA from 1 species